GCUUCUUUUUCCCCGGAGCUUGCUCCACCGGAAAAAGAAGAGUGGCGAACGGGUGAGUAACACGUGGGUAACCUGCCCAUCAGAAGGGGAUAACACUUGGAAACAGGUGCUAAUACCGUAUAACAAUCGAAACCGCAUGGUUUUGAUUUGAAAGGCGCUUUCGGGUGUCGCUGAUGGAUGGACCCGCGGUGCAUUAGCUAGUUGGUGAGGUAACGGCUCACCAAGGCCACGAUGCAUAGCCGACCUGAGAGGGUGAUCGGCCACAUUGGGACUGAGACACGGCCCAAACUCCUACGGGAGGCAGCAGUAGGGAAUCUUCGGCAAUGGACGAAAGUCUGACCGAGCAACGCCGCGUGAGUGAAGAAGGUUUUCGGAUCGUAAAACUCUGUUGUUAGAGAAGAACAAGGAUGAGAGUAACUGUUCAUCCCUUGACGGUAUCUAACCAGAAAGCCACGGCUAACUACGUGCCAGCAGCCGCGGUAAUACGUAGGUGGCAAGCGUUGUCCGGAUUUAUUGGGCGUAAAGCGAGCGCAGGCGGUUUCUUAAGUCUGAUGUGAAAGCCCCCGGCUCAACCGGGGAGGGUCAUUGGAAACUGGGAGACUUGAGUGCAGAAGAGGAGAGUGGAAUUCCAUGUGUAGCGGUGAAAUGCGUAGAUAUAUGGAGGAACACCAGUGGCGAAGGCGGCUCUCUGGUCUGUAACUGACGCUGAGGCUCGAAAGCGUGGGGAGCAAACAGGAUUAGAUACCCUGGUAGUCCACGCCGUAAACGAUGAGUGCUAAGUGUUGGAGGGUUUCCGCCCUUCAGUGCUGCAGCUAACGCAUUAAGCACUCCGCCUGGGGAGUACGACCGCAAGGUUGAAACUCAAAGGAAUUGACGGGGGCCCGCACAAGCGGUGGAGCAUGUGGUUUAAUUCGAAGCAACGCGAAGAACCUUACCAGGUCUUGACAUCCUUUGACCACUCUAGAGAUAGAGCUUCCCCUUCGGGGGCAAAGUGACAGGUGGUGCAUGGUUGUCGUCAGCUCGUGUCGUGAGAUGUUGGGUUAAGUCCCGCAACGAGCGCAACCCUUAUUGUUAGUUGCCAUCAUUCAGUUGGGCACUCUAGCAAGACUGCCGGUGACAAACCGGAGGAAGGUGGGGAUGACGUCAAAUCAUCAUGCCCCUUAUGACCUGGGCUACACACGUGCUACAAUGGGAAGUACAACGAGUCGCGAAGUCGCGAGGCUAAGCUAAUCUCUUAAAGCUUCUCUCAGUUCGGAUUGUAGGCUGCAACUCGCCUACAUGAAGCCGGAAUCGCUAGUAAUCGCGGAUCAGCACGCCGCGGUGAAUACGUUCCCGGGCCUUGUACACACCGCCCGUCACACCACGAGAGUUUGUAACACCCGAAGUCGGUGAGGAACCUUUGGAGCC
rnacentral:rRNA from 1 species